AUGGUGACGGCCCUCUGGUCCUCGGUCCUUUCAGUGAGGAACACCGGCUUGAUGCCGACCGAGAGCAGCUUGUUGUACAACCUCUUCGUCUCUGGCAGCGCUGGCGCGCUCCCCUCCAGCACGUACGCAUUGAAGCUCGUCGCGUUGAACGGUGUAGCCCUAAAAGCACAUGUAUAUGAGGAUAGAUUAAUGGCAGAUUCAACCAUAUUAGCUACUAGUAAUUAUGCAAACCGAAGAAACAUGUGUAACCUAGAUUGUGGUCCAAGUGAUCAAAUGGUCAAGUGGAUGAGCAGUACCUAA
rnacentral:rRNA from 1 species